rnacentral:rRNA from 1 species
CCCUUAGAUGUUCUGGGCUGCACGCGCGCUACACUGAAGCGUUCAACGAGUAUUCACCUUGCCCGGGAGGGUUGGGUAAUCUUUUGAAAACGCUUCGUGAUGGGGGUAGAUUAUUGCAAUUAUUAAUCUUCAACGAGGAAUUCCUAGUAAGCGCGAGUCAUCAGCUCGUGCUGAUUACGUCCCUGCCCUUUGUACACACCGCCCGUCGCACCUACCGAUGAAUAGUCCGAUGAAAUUUCCGGAUUGCGGCCUUCGCGUGCUUGGCAACAAGUACGUGGCUGUCAAGAAGUUACUUGAAUCUUACCAUUUAGAGGAAGGUGAANUCGUAACA